UACGUAGGGUGCGAGCGUUGUCCGGAAUUAUUGGGCGUAAAGAGCUCGUAGGCGGUCUGUCGCGUCGGUCGUGAAAACCUGCAGCUUAACUGUGGGCGUGCGGUCGAUACGGGCAUGACUGGAGUUCGGCAGGGGAGACUGGAAUUCCUGGUGUAGCGGUGAAAUGCGCAGAUAUCAGGAGGAACACCGGUGGCGAAGGCGGGUCUCUGGGCCGAUACUGACGCUGAGGAGCGAAAGCGUGGGGAGCGAACGGG
rnacentral:rRNA from 1 species